rnacentral:rRNA from 1 species
AACGAACGCUGGCGGCAGGCCUAACACAUGCAAGUCGAGCGAGGACUUCGGUUCUAGCGGCGGACGGGUGAGUAACGCGUGGGAAUGUGCCCUUCUCUACGGAAUAGCCCUGGGAAACUGGGAGUAAUACCGUAUACGCCCUAUUGGGGAAAGAUUUAUCGGAGAAGGAUCAGCCCGCGUUGGGUUAGGUAGUUGGUGGGGUAAUGGCCUACCAAGCCGACGAUCCAUAGCUGGUUUGAGAGGAUGAUCAGCCACACUGGGACUGAGACACGGCCCAGACUCCUACGGGAGGCAGCAGUGGGGAAUCUUAGACAAUGGGGGCAACCCUGAUCGAGCCAUGCCGCGUGAGUGAUGAAGGCCUUAGGGUUGUAAAGCUCUUUCAGCUGGGAAGAUAAUGACGGUACCAGCAGAAGAAGCCCCGGCUAACUCCGUG